rnacentral:rRNA from 1 species
CCUGUCCAACGUUAAUCGGGGCAGGGUGAGUCGACCCCUAAGGCGAGGCCGAAAGGCGUAGUCGAUGGGAAACAGGUUAAUAUUCCUGUACUUGGUGUUACUGCGAAGGGGGGACGGAGAAGGCUAUGUUGGCCGGGCGACGGUUGUCCCGGUUUAAGCGUGUAGGCUGGUUUUCCAGGCAAAUCCGGAAAAUCAAGGCUGAGGCGUGAUGACGAGGCACUACGGUGCUGAAGCAACAAAUGCCCUGCUUCCAGGAAAAGCCUCUAAGCAUCAGGUAACAUCAAAUCGUACCCCAAACCGACACAGGUGGUCAGGUAGAGAAUACCAAGGCGCUUGAGAGAACUCGGGUGAAGGAACUAGGCAAAAUGGUGCCGUAACUUCGGGAGAAGGCACGCUGAUAUGUAGGUGAAGUCCCUCGCGGAUGGAGCUGAAAUCAGUCGAAGAUACCAGCUGGCUGCAACUGUUUAUUAAAAACACAGCACUGUGCAAACACGAAAGUGGACGUAUACGGUGUGACGCCUGCCCGGUGCCGGAAGGUUAAUUGAUGGGGUUAGCCGCAA